GCCAGUAGCGUGGCUGACUUCUUGUUGGUGGGAGGUGACGGCCAGUCUCAUUCGGUACUAUUUCCCGUAUUAAUUCAUCGGUGCUACCGAUUUAUUUUGUCAUCCGAAGUUAUCCUUGUUGAGGACUAACAUGCCAGAGCAGCCCGUGCAAGUGACAGUCAGGAUGACCGAGACACACCUCGCCCCCGGCGUGUGCACCGUGUGCAGGUUCCGGUUGGGGAGACCAUCUACUAUCUGACACACCAGUGACCCGAGUUAACAGCAAGACUAUCACAGCCGUGUUACCAAGUAGGCCUAUGGAACUACGAGUCGUCU